rnacentral:rRNA from 1 species
UGGGGAAUAUUGGACAAUGGGCGAAAGCCUGAUCCAGCCAUGCCGCGUGUGUGAAGAAGGUCUUCGGAUUGUAAAGCACUUUAAGUUGGGAGGAAGGGCAGUAAGCGAAUACCUUGCUGUUUUGACGUUACCGACAGAAUAAGCACCGGCUAACUCUGUGCCAGCAGCCGCGGUAAUACAGAGGGUGCAAGCGUUAAUCGGAAUUACUGGGCGUAAAGCGCGCGUAGGUGGUUCGUUAAGUUGAAUGUGAAAGCCCCGGGCUCAACCUGGGAACUGCAUUCGAUACUGGUUAGCUAGAGUGUGGGAGAGGAGGGUAGAAUUCCAGGUGUAGCGGUGAAAUGCGUAGAGAUCUGGAGGAAUACCGAUGGCGAAGGCAGCCAUCUGGCCUAACACUGACGCUGAGGUACGAAAGCAUGGGGAGCAAACAGG